rnacentral:lncRNA from 1 species
ACAUUUGGGAGUAGAUAUAACUUUCUAUAUGAAAUGUCAAAUACUCUACAUCUCAUCGGACCUAGACAAGAGUAGACAAGAAUAUUAUUAUAAUUUUAAGUUCUCAAAUAGCAUUUACAAAGUAUUUCGGGGUCCUACCGUCGUCAUGUGGUCAGUAUUUAUGCUGAGAAGAAUCAGUGUAAAGCUCAAAGAACGAGCUAUACGAGUGUUAAGCCUCUCGACAUCGAAAACGUAAAUGUGCAGAGAUGGUGAAGUAUUUGUGCCAGGAAUCUGUCUCCUAUAUCUCAGGGUCUGCCUGUUCUUGUCAAUGUUCUUUGCUCGGGUUCUGCUUAGGUCAUUAACAACAUUACUAACCACUGUUAGCAAAUUUUUUAAACAAUUUGUUUUUGCAGUGAAUACAAGGUUAGUAUACCUAAUAUUAGAUAUGACCUCUAUUUCAGAUUGUAGAUACUGAGUGCAAAAUCCUGAACAUAAAUGCCAAUUAUCGUGACAGAGUUCAUAAACAAUCAAUUUUCAAUAGUUCUCUCAU